GGAGUGCAGAGUGUCACAACUAUAUAAAUUAAAACACAGUUCCAGUACCUAAUUCAGUCUUUCAAAGGCACCCCAGGAAUAGUGAAAUAAGACAUUUAUCCUUAUGUUUAUAUAGGCCUGAGAGGUGAAAAUGAAAAUACAUGAUGGAAGAAAGUGGAGAAGGGCCGUCCUUAGGCAUAGGCAGCAAAAGCGGCUGCGUAUGGCACCCGAAAAAUUGAGGCACCAUCAGCACAGCAGAUAUCACCAAGCGACUGAAGUGCUGAUCAAAGGGGAGAGCCUGGCUGAAGGUGAGCAGCAUUUGGUGAGCAGCAUCUAAGUUUGUAAGGGC